GGAGCAGGCGGCACUAAGGGUCUGUGGUGAAAGAUCGAAGCUUAACUUCGGUAAGCCAUGGAAACCGUAGAGCUAGAGUGUGUGAGAGGAUCGUGGAAUUCCAUGUGUAGCGGUGAAAUGCGUAGAUAUAUGGAGGAACACCAGUGGCGAAGGCGACGAUCUGGCGCAUAACUGACGCUCAGUUCGAAAGCGUGGGGAGCAAAUA
rnacentral:rRNA from 1 species